UCGGGAGUAAAAGUUUUGUUUAAACCGAAAAAAUAUUGACUGACUUUAGAUUUUUCUUUGGAAUAUGUGUUUUUUUGGAGAGCCCUCUUUUAUAGUGAAUUUUGUUGGCGCAUGUAUGAUUGUUUAGUUUUUACUUUUUUGGUAAUGCUUUGUGUUUUAUACAUUUAAAACAGAUAUAUAUUUGGCUUAUGGAUUUAAAGUAAUUUUUUCUUAAUGUAAUAAUGAAUUUAAUAAAUAAAGUGGUAC
rnacentral:rRNA from 1 species